UACGUAGGGGGCAAGCGUUGUCCGGAAUCAUUGGGCGUAAAGCGCGUGUAGGCGGCUUGGUAAGUCCGCUCUGAAAGCCCGGGGCUCAACCCCGGGAGGCGGGUGGAUACUGUCAAGCUCGAGUCCGGAAGAGGUGAGUGGAACUCCGAGUGUAGAGGUGAAAUUCGUAGAUAUUCGGAAGAACACCAGUGGCGAAGGCGGCUCUCUGGAACGCAACUGACGCUGAGACGCGAAAGCGUGGGGAGCAAACAGG
rnacentral:rRNA from 1 species